rnacentral:rRNA from 1 species
GACGAACGCUGGCGGCGUGCUUAACACAUGCAAGUCGAGCGGUAAGGCCCUUUCGGGGGUACGACGAGCGGCGAACGGGUGGAGUAACACGUGGGUGACCCGCCCUCAGCUCUGGGAUAAGCCUGGGAAACCGGGUCUAAUACUGGAUAUGACUCCAUGACGCAUGUUGUGGGGUGGAAAGCCUUGUGCGGCUGAGGAUGGGCCCGCGGCCUAUCAGCUUGUUGGUGGGGUGAGGCCUACCAAGGCGACGACGGGUAGCCGGCCUGAGAGGGCGACCGGCCACACUGGGACUGAGACACGGCCCAGACUCCUACGGGAGGCAGCAGUGGGGAAUUUUGGACAAUGGGGGGCAACCCUGAUCCAGCCAUGCCGCGUGC